GAGUUUGAACCUGGCUCAGGACGAACGCUGGCGGCGUGCUUAACACAUGCAAGUCGAACGAUGAAGCCCUUCGGGGUGGAUUAGUGGCGAACGGGUGAGUAACACGUGGGCAAUCUGCCCUUCACUCUGGGACAAGCCCUGGAAACGGGGUCUAAUACCGGAURAUACUUCUGCUCGCAUGGGCAGGGGUUGAAAGCUCCGGCGGUGAAGGAUGAGCCCGCGGCCUAUCAGCUUGUUGGUGAGGUAGAAGCUCACCAAGGCGACGACGGGUAGCCGGCCUGAGAGGGCGACCGGCCACACUGGGACUGAGACACGGCCCAGACUCCUACGGGAGGCAGCAGUGGGGAAUAUUGCACAAUGGGCGAAAGCCUGAUGCAGCGACGCCGCGUGAGGGAUGACGGCCUUCGGGUUGUAAACCUCUUUCAGCAGGGAAGAAGCGAAAGU
rnacentral:rRNA from 1 species